rnacentral:rRNA from 1 species
GACGAACGCUGGCGGCGUGCUUAACACAUGCAAGUCGAACGAAGUGGCGAACGGGUGAGUAACGCGUAAUCAACCUGCCCUUCAGAGGGGGACAACAGUCGGAAACGACUGCUAAUACCGCAUACUGAAGGAGGGGAUUGCGUCUGAUUAGCUAGUUGGAGGGGUAACGGCCAACCAAGGCGAUGAUCAGUAGGCGGGUUGGGAGGAUGAACGGCCAAAUAUGGACUGGGACACGGCCCAGACUCCUACGGGGGGCAGCAGUGGGGAAACUUCCGCAAUGGACGGAAGUCUGACGACGCAACGCCGCGGGAGUGGUGACGGCCUUCGGGUUGUAAAGCUCUGUUAAUCGGGACGCGGUACCGGAAUAGAAAGCCACGGCUAACUACGUGCCAGCAGCCGCGGUAAUAC